ensembl:lncRNA
GGAAUCACUCUUUCAAAAUUCCCAGGCUCUAGAAAUGACCUGCAGCUAUUCUGACUAACACUGAAUAAUAUUUCAUGAGAGUCGCAUUGGUUUCUGCAGAACCACGCAUGCAGCAAGGUGUUGCUCAGCAUGAUUGAGAAUAAGAAAAAAUUGUCCCCAAAGAAAAUGACUCAUGCUAGUCUUCCUUCGCAGAUAUUUUAAUAAUGAAGUAAUUAGAAGCAAGCCUGACUAUAUCUCAGGUUUCUUUCUCCCCAGCCACCAAGAGCUUUAUUUUAUGCCAACCUACAGGCAACACCAUAGCUGAUAGCUAUCUUGUUAACAAGAGGAUUUAUGUUUUCCUUCCAAGUAGUUGUUACUCCCCACAUCUCUCAGAUGCAAUACUCAAACUAAAAGAACUUAUAUAAAGUUUUGCUGUUUUAAUUAAUUAUUUAUAUAUUAAGCAAAAUAUUUUUAUAGUAUUUACUGAAAGCAGAAAGCUUAUAAAUACUUCACUGUAUUGAAAAACACUCCUGCAGGAUAUAAUCUUCAUUGAUCUGAUCUGAUUGUUAAAGUUGUCUCAUAGCCUGGGACAUGCAGAGACCCAUGUGCUUAUUAAACUCCUCUUUGACUGAUAGGAAUUAGUUUUGGAGAAUGUGUUUCAUAAAUCCCAUAGAGGAUUGCAGGAUCACAUGUUCUUUGAAAGAGAGUAUCCAAAAAGCACGUGAAGAUUUUUGAGCUUCCUACUUUGUGAUGAUUUAUUUAUUUUUUUUUUUUCCUAAUACAUUUGUAGAAAAUAACUUGUUUGCCUUCCUUCCUCAACAAACCUGCAGGCAGAUUUUCAUGACUGAGGAGCCCUUGAAGUCAGUGGCAGCUGAAGCACAGGUACCUCAUGAGUUGGAUUUGUUUUUGUUGAGUGCACCACUUCAGAGGAUGUCAUUCACAUGAGCAGGCUUCACUGUCUGGAAGAACAGAGCUUGUUUCCUAAGCAGUAUGCUGCAGAAGAACAUCAAACCAUUACUGAUUCUUCAAUAUCACUGGCUGUAUGAUGUGCUCAGCACAUUUCUCAAGAGGAUAAUGAAUGAUUCAGCUCAGCUGGAUCCAGUUUACUGCUCUCCAAGGGGACCAAGGACAGCACCCUGCCCACUUGGACACCUAGACUUUCUGGCUUGGCUGCACAUCAGCACUUCUAAUUGA